UAUGACUACCUGGUAUGACUC
rnacentral:piRNA from 1 species